rnacentral:rRNA from 1 species
AGUGAACGCUGGCGGUAGGCCUAACACAUGCAAGUCGAACGGCAGCACAGUAAGAGCUUGCUCUUACGGGUGGCGAGUGGCGGACGGGUGAGGAAUACAUCGGAAUCUACUUUUUCGUGGGGGAUAACGUAGGGAAACUUACGCUAAUACCGCAUACGACCUACGGGUGAAAGCAGGGGAUCUUCGGACCUUGCGCGAUUGAAUGAGCCGAUGUCGGAUUAGCUAGUUGGCGGGGUAAAGGCCCACCAAGGCGACGAUCCGUAGCUGGUCUGAGAGGAUGAUCAGCCACCCUGGAGCUGGGACACGGUCCAGACUCCUACGGGAGGCAGCAGCGGGGAAUAUUGGACAAUGGGCGCAAGCCUGAUCCAGCCAUACCGCGUGGGUGAAGAAGGCCUUCGGGUUGUAAAGCCCUUUUGUUGGGAAAGAAAAGCAGCAGGUUAAUACCCCGCUGUUCUGACGGUACCCAAAGAAUAAGCACCGGCUAACUUCGUG